rnacentral:tRNA from 2 species
CGGGGCGUAGCGCAGCCUGGUAGCGCGUUUGACUGGGGGUCAAAAGGUCGGGAGUUCAAAUCUCCCCGCCCCGACCA